AUUGAGCGCUGGCGGCAUGCCUUACACAUGCAAGUCGAACGGCAGCAUGGAAGAGCUUGCUCUUCUGAUGGCGAGUGGCGAACGGGUGAGUAAAGCAUCGGAACGUACCGUGUAGUGGGGGAUAACGUAGCGAAAGUUACGCUAAUACCGCAUACGCACUGAGGUGGAAAGCAGGGGAUCGCAAGACCUUGCGCUAUACGAGCGGCCGAUGUCAGAUUAGCUAGUUGGUAGGGUAAAGGCCUACCAAGGCGACGAUCUGUAGCGGGUCUGAGGGGAUGAUCCGCCACACUGGGACUGAGACACGGCCCAGACUCCUACGGGAGGCAGCAGUGGGGAAUUUUGGACAAUGGGCGAAAGCCUGAUCCAGCCAUGCCGCGUGAGUGAAGAAGGCCUUCGGGUUGUAAAGCUCUUUCGGCUGGGAAGAAAUCGCACAGGCUAAUACUCUGUGUGGAUGACGGUACCAGCACAAGAAGCACCGGCUAACUACGUGCCAGCCGCCGCCGUAA
rnacentral:rRNA from 1 species